rnacentral:ncRNA from 1 species
GGAUAGAGGCGCGAGGUUCAUCAGUACUUCCGGGGAAAACAGGCAACGGGCCGGAAGGAAAGGGGACAUCGCCGAAGCGUCCGGGGAGUGCCUGAUGCCCGGAUGGCUGGGUCGCCGUGAAAUACGCGGCGGACUGUCACAAGAAUUUUUUGUGAAGCGCUAUCA